GGGGGAGCCGGGCUGGGGCAGUUCCCCCCCCCCCAAGCCCCAGGGGAGAAGUGGGGGCGGGUCUCCCAGGCGGCCGAGGGCCGCACAGUCAAGUUCUUCAGCCCCUCUCGGCGCUUUGUUUCCCGUGGACCUACCGGGUGACUGGGGCGGGGGCUGCAUGUUCCAAGGCUGCCGAGCCGGCCGCUCCCCCCAGUCACAGAGUCCUAGACCCGGAGAGCUGGAAGAGCCUUGCAGGGAAUUCCCGUCUGGACGCUCCACGGUUUGUGAGAAAAAGAAAAAGCAGAUUUUCUGUCCCGCGCUCGGUGUCUGCAAGAACCUUUCAUUUGGCAGAUGAAGAACUAACCACGUGUGGCCAGCCCGUGGCUCACAAGCUACAUGCUGCGCUUUCAUUAAAAAAUUGUGGCUCCUGAUGGUAUUGCUCAGGCCGGCUUCUCUGCACAAGACUGCUCUCAGCGGGGCCGCUCUGAGCCGCGUUCCAGUGUGUGCUCGCAGCCCACCACUCUGCUUGCAGCCCCUCCCACUCCGCGCAUGGCGUCCCAGCCAGUGCUUGCUCAAGGCCGGCCACUCAGCGCAUGCACCCUAGCACCUGGAAGAAGACACACGUGGCGUGAUUGCUCAUGUGAAUUCCAAUAAAGGUGACUCCAAAGCAGAACCUAACUAGGCGGAGGACCGGAUGUCGAGACCACGGAGGAGCUGAGGACCGUUCUACAUAGAAUAGCGUCCUCUCUGGCCUGAUGUGACAGCUCAUAGUGGUUGGCAAAUGUGUGGACCAAGGACCAUGUGGUAGCCCUGCAGAUGUCCAGGAUGGGAACCUGCACUGCGAAAGCAGUGGAAGCUGCCACAGCUCUCGUGGAGUGUGCUCUAAGGGUCGGGGCUGAGAUGCCCUUUAGGGAGUAGCACUCCCUGAUACAGGCGGUUAUCCAUGAGGUGAUUCGCUGAGUGGUUACAGGUUGGCCUCUCAUGCGUUCCGCGAUGGCUACGAAAAGUUGUGUUGAUUUUUGGAAUGGUUUGGUCCUGUCUAAAUAAAAGGCUAACA